AUUUGGACUCAUGCCCAGAUAUCAGAAGGAGGACUUGCCCCAGACCUAGAUGUUGAAAUGCCAAGAUAUCACGUCAGAAAUACAAACCAGGUCUCUGGUGGAACAGAAAAGAAAACCUCUCCUCUCCCCAGGCGUCCUGCUCAGUUGCUUCAUUUUCUCUUGUUUCCUGAUGGGGUUUCUCUGCUAAAGUUUUCUUAUAGGAUAAACCCCUGGCCCAUGCACAGGAAUACCUGGUUAAGGUCUAGAACGCAGCACUACCUUCCUUCUUUAACUCUUAGUGCUAAUUCCUGCUACAAAGCUUUUGAUUGGUUUACCAAUUACUUUGAGUCAGGCAAGUGUCUCACUAGCUCAUGGACAGAAAACCCUGGAUUCAAGUAUCCAUAUUGGCUCAGUCUGUUAUAUUGAGAAUUGGGGGGGGGGGCUGUCAGAAGGCAGAAGUUAUAGGCAGUUAGAGAAUAGAGCAUAAGGGUACAGUUUCCUUCAGAAGAGGGGACAAAGAAACAAAAAUGGAAUAUUCGAGUAAAGUAUUGUGGUCUGAACUGGGAAUCAAAAGACCUGAGUUCAAGAUUUGCUUUUGUCACAUGCCUCUGUUAACCAGAGACGUUAGGUAAAUGUUCCUGUCUUCAUAACCUUCACUUAAAAAAAUAAGGGACAAGGGUCACCACUUCUAACUCUAGGAUCCUAGGACUCAUCCAGGACCAAACUCAUCUCCAUACAGAGGAGACAGAGUUAUGCUGUCAAACUUUUCCCACUUUUAGGAAGAGGGAUUAUCAGAAGCCCAGGGCAAGUUUAGAUAAAUCACCUUUUCCUGGGAGAGCUCCCUGGUGAAAAUCCACUAGAAGUUCCUCAUCUGCUUCUCCAUGACCUGGAAGACCUCUCUUCUUUUUCCUUCCUCCUAAGAGGUAUGAACGAGAUGCAGAUAGCUCUGUUAUUAGUAAUGCAGAAAGACUUCAGGAUAUCCCAGCUUAAACCCAGGGGUCCUCAGCUUUUAAACUCACUCUGAAGAAAAUGUACAUAUCUGAUCUUUUUAACAGUUACUCCCAUUUUGGGCCAACAAUGAAAGUAAUUUCAUAGAUGGGAAGCCUCUUGGAAGAGGUGGGAGCUGUGGUCAUCGGUGGGAAAAAUCAGACACUGAAAAAAAUCAUAAAUCACUGUGUUCAGAAUAUAAGUUUACAUUCAAUUAUUUCAAUUUUUAAUGGGCCCUUUUCCCAUUCUGUGAUUGCUGAAGAAAGUCUUGAUGAAGUUGCAGGACUCCUUCUCUCCUUUAGCUAACAGCAGCAGAGAAGUCAUCUUGCUUCAUCAUCUGACUCCAAGAAGAACAGCACAUCUCUCAACUAAAAAGCAGGACUUGACCCUUCUCCUGGGAAAGGUAGUCCCUUGGUGGCUUGAGUCUCUCAUCAGUGUCAUAUGACCCUAUCAUGCAAAAGACCAUCAUCUUGUUUUGCCAUUGAUUCAAGUCAUCUCUUCUUCUUUUAUUUAUUUGUUUUUAAUUUCAGGGCUACACCUGUGGCAUAUGGAAGUUCCCAGGCUAGGGGUUGAAUCAGAGCCACAGCUGCAGGCCUAUACCACUGCUACAGCAACACCAGAUCCAAGCCAUGUCUGCGACGCACAGCAAUGCCGGAUCCUUAACCCACUGAGCGAGGCCAGGGAUGGAACAUGCAUCCUCAUGAAUACUAGGCCUGUUCUUAAAUGGCUGAGCCACAGAAAGGAAUUCCAUAUCUUCUUUGUCUUUUCUUUUGUAAGGGGAAAGACAAUUUAUUAUGCUCUUUACAAAAACACUGAAGGCUAGAAACCCAGUGGGCUCUGGUUUCUAAGCCAGAGUAACUCACAUAGGUAGCUACCUGGGUCAGCUUUCCCCCCAGUCAUCCCUGCCAUUCCUAACACUACACUGUUCUUUGUUCCUUAGGAACUUCAUGGUAAGGAAUUGAGUGAGUGAAGAUUUCUCUUCUAGAAAGCCCAAAUGUUUAUGGAGGGAGCUUAAUUUACUGCAUCUGCUGUGAGCUCCAAGUGGUACACGCUCUCUCUCAUGAAUAUUUUCAGGAAAUCUGGGUGGCCCCAGAAGGAUCCACGUGGACAAUGGAUACUUCCUUCAAGGGUCUUUACUUGCAGAAUUCCUGCCUCCAGGGACUUUCUGGGAAAAGGUGAUCACAAGUCAUGGGGGUCUCUUUGAAUGAUACCACCCACAGAAGGUCUCACGUUGUCCUUGACUUUCCCACCAUAAAUUCUAAAAUAAGAGGAAAAGCUGCCAGGAAAUAGGUCUGAUGUAUUGUCUGACUAAGCAGAGGGGCAGGAAUUGGUGUUGAGGUGAUAGAAGGCAAUCAGCAUUGUCUCUGUUUCUGCUCCACCCUGCAGUUCUGGCUGAAUGGACAAUAUCAUCCCUGACAAAGCAAAUUAUGAGAAUUGAGAGGGUCUUAAAGAUCAAGUUUGUCUUCAAGUUCACUUUACUGAUAUGACAGAAGCCAUGGCAGAUCCUGGCUUGCAGUUCAGGGACAACUCAUGUAUGAAGUUUUAUUAGACCAUGCUGCCUUCUGUAUCAUGACGCCACCUCCCAAAGAAGAAAGAAGAUUGGACACACAAAGCAGCUCCAGGAAGACUCUUCUUAGCUGUUGACUCUCAGUGACAAUGAUAAGCCUAAAGUUUUUUCCCCAUUGUGCACUAAUAAAUGCUUGUAGGUCCACAAGUUUAAGACCAAGUUUGGGAGUCAUUUCCUCAGCUCUCUCCCCCACCUCCCUUCCUCCACUCUGAUGAACUUUUUCCAGGCAUUGGUCUCUUCCAGUGUGGAAGGAAAUGAAUCUUGGUGGUAGGGGCAUUGGAGCUGUGUAUGCAGAACUCCAGGACAGUGUUGCCUGUUUCACAAUUCUGCUAAGCACAGAACAAAAGGACAUGAGUUAAAUGGUAAUAAUGGUAAUAUAAUCAUUUGAAGAACGCCACAAGAAAAUAGAAAAUAAAGGAGACAUUGCAGGGAACUGUAAGGGGCUAGACGGUUCUUGGAAAAAGUGAGGUUUUGACUGGGUCUUUGAAAAUAAAGUUACCACUGAUAAGUAUAGUCGUGGCUGUGAGAGGAGUGAGAAAGGUGGAGGGGAACGUAAUUGGUCCGCCAUGUAAGACUGAGCUGGAUGAAUACAGUGGUCUGAUCCUUAUUAAGGAAACUGAAAACUUUCAUCUUCCCUCCCUGCAGAGCAGGAGCCUUGUCUGAAGAGCUGAGGGAGGACCACAUCAUCUUGUAGGCUCAACUACUAACCACUGUGAGGUUAAAACAAAAAGCCCCUCCCUAGGCAAACCAAGGCUAUGAUAAAAAUGGAGUCAUCACUCUGGUCCCCUAUCCUUCUGACCUCUUUUCUAGCUUUCCAGCAAUUUGGGAACUCACUCAAGUUGGGAAGUUUGAAGACCUGGGCCUACAGGCUAGCCUGGCACAGACAGAUAGGGAAGGAUGCUACCUAGAAUUCAGGAUGGUGUGGGCUGGCCCAUCAGGGGCACUGGGUGCAUCUCAACAAACUGUAAAUGAAUGAAAAAGUCUCCAAAAAGUUUCUAGUGAAGAUGGAUAGGGGAAAGGGGCCUGGGCAAUGAGUGUCACUCAUCCUUCAUCCUUUCCUCUAAGGCCAGGGUCAGUGGCCCAAAUAAACAUGGUGCCCCACAGAGAUGGUCCUGCAGCCAAAUGGCUCUCAGCGGCUUGACUCAAAGUCACCUGGACAGGCCUGACGGAAAUGCAGGACGGCCCAGCCCUUCCCUAAUGGGUUUUCCAGAGUCGAUCCAUCAUUCUGCCCAGAGAAGAGGAGAAUGAAAAAUAGAUCAGGUGCCACAGGACCGUGACCUGUGCUUCCUUGGAAAUGGAAGCAGGUGAAAGAGGGGAUGACACAGCUGGGGGCGCCAGGGGAUGCUGGCAGUGAUGCAGCCCUGGGUUCAAAUGAGAAGGUUGAGAUGCUGGCCUGAAGGCAAGCUGGCACUGACUGUCUCCAGGCAGGGCUCUUUCUGGGCACUGAACAAGGCCCGUGGCUUGGGGAGCUGCCCCAGGCUGGUGGUGCUGCCAGCACUCCAUUCACCCUGUGAAAUGUAUUAAUUAGUAAGCGGUUUUGGCCCAGAGCAGGUUGCCGUGGCUUCCGACGAGUAGGAGAGAAAAGAGGCAAGUCCAUCUAGAGGCGCCUCUGAGAAAGCUCAAGCCCUUGUGUGCUGAGGACAGCUUCCACUAGAGAGAAAGGGAGACCCUGGCAAAGUUGGGUGGAGAAAAUUCAGACAGCCAUGCAAAGCAGUCCAAGUGCCCCCACCCAGGGCAGUGAAAAAAAACCAAACCCCAGCCUAACAGAAUCUGUGCUGCCAAUAAGGGAGAUUAUUGGGAACAAAACCAACCAACCAACCAAACAGCCUGCAAAAGGGGCUUCUCUGAGUUUCAACUGCUCUCUGCUUUCAUUCCCUUUUCUAAAAUGGCUGCAGAAACCAUUUUAGUCUGCUUUAGCCAUGGCUCGUCAGAGCUGGAAGAUGCCAUCAAGACCUUCUAGGGAGUUCCCAUUGUGGAGCAGCGUAAACAAAUCUGACUAGUAUCCAUGAGGAUGUGGGUUGGAUCCCUGGCCUCCCUCAGUGGGUUAAGGAUGCGAGCUGUGGUGUAGGUGGCAGAUGAGGCUGGAAUCUGGUGUUGCUGCGGCUGUGGUGUAGGCCAGCAGCUGUAGCUCUGCUUCAGCCCCUAGGCUGGGAAAUUCCAUAUGCCGAGAGUUCGACCCUUAAAGCAAAAAAGAAAAA
rnacentral:lncRNA from 1 species